GUUUCGAGUGGAGGUUUCGGCAAUUCGGAUGUGGUCUGCUACUUUCAUUUUCAAUCGCAGAUUUUGAUCAAGCUUCUCCUUCGUUUUCAUGCGCGGUGCACUAUAAAAACACGACUGGCUGCGAAAGAAACGUUUUGCCAGUAGACCGCUCUCUUGGUCUUUCUCAGAUCCAGACUGCUGCCCAUAGCCAUAGACUUGGCUUUCCUGUUUUGCCUUUCUUUUCGCUUCGUUGACACCAAAUCUGAGAAUGAAAUGUUCAGCACUAAACAAAGUAUUCCUUUGAAGUUUCUGAAUAUUCUACAAACUUAGUGAAGAACUGUCAGCACUUCUCAACAAAUAUGCUAUGGCUGUGAUUGUGCAAGAAUAUUUACAAUAAUAUUUUUCUGGUUUUCAAAAAUUGGCUGCCAAUGUUUUGAGGAUUGAGAUUUUGUCUCGCUCUUUCGGAGUUGAUA